rnacentral:rRNA from 1 species
CUUAUGCAAACUCAAAGGAAUUGACGGCCUGCCUCCAAAUGGAUAGGCGUUUACGGCUGUGACGAAUAGUGAGUGACGGUAUGGGUAAAGAAGCACCGGGCUAACUACGGUGCCAGGCAACCGCGGUGAUACGUAGGGUGCGAGCGUUGUCCGGAUUUAUUGGGCGUAAAGGGCUCGUAGGUGGUUGAUCGCGUCGGAAGUGUAAUCUUGGGGCUUAACCCUGAGCGUGCUUUCGAUACGGGUUGACUUGAGGAAGGUAGGGGAGAAUGGAAUUCCUGGUGGAGCGGUGGAAUGCGCAGAUAUCAGGAGGAACACCAGUGGCGAAGGCGGUUCUCUGGGCCUUUCCUGACGCUGAGGAGCGAAAGCGUGGGGAGCGAACAGGCUUAGAUACCCUGGUAGUCCACGCUGUAAACGGUGGGUACUAGGUGUGGGGUCCAUUCCACGGGUUCCGUGCCGUAGCUAACGCUUUAAGUACCCCGCCUGGGGAGUACGGCCGCAAGGCUAAAACUCAAA